rnacentral:rRNA from 1 species
CCUACGGGAGGCAGCAGUAGGGAAUAUUGCUCAAUGGGGGAAACCCUGAAGCAGCAACGCCGCGUGGAGGAUGAAGGUUUUCGGAUUGUAAACUCCUUUUGUUAGAGAAGAAAAUGACGGUAUCUAACGAAUAAGCACCGGCUAACUCCGUGCCAGCAGCCGCGGUAAUACGGAGGGUGCAAGCGUUACUCGGAAUCACUGGGCGUAAAGAGCGCGUAGGCGGGGUAGCAAGUCAGAUGUGAAAUCCUAUGGCUUAACCAUAGAACUGCAGUUGAAACUGUUAUUCUAGAGUAUGGGAGAGGUAGGUGGAAUUCGUGGUGUAGGGGUAAAAUGCGUAGAGAUCAAGAGGAAUACUCAUUGCGAAGGCGGCCUGCUAGAACAUAACUGACGCUGAGGCGCGAAAGCGUGGGGAGCAAACAGGAUUAGAUACCCCAGUAGUC